UAUGAAUUCACUGGAAAGAAAACUUUUGACAAAGGUUUAUGCUAGAGAAACUAAAAAAUCAUGUUUAAAAUUGAUAAAAUGGUUGCAAAUGAUUGGCUUGCUGAAACGCAAAAUUAAAUGCAAGAACUGUGGGCAUAAAAUGAACAUGGUUGCCUCCCAGACCAAGGAUUAUGUCAUCUGGGAGUGUCGACGUAAAAGAUGUGGACGGUUGAAAAGAAGUGUUAGGUCAAAGUCACUCUUCUCACAAUCACACUGCAGUCUAUUCACAUGGAUGAAGUACAUACAUAGAUUCGCACAGGGUUUACAUCUACGGCAAGUAGACAUGCUUCAAGAUGGCAUUGCAAAGAGCACAGUAACACUUUCUAUGAUGUCAAAGAAACUCAGAAGAAUUUGUGUAAAAAGCCUGGAAAAGCACAGAAAGAAAAAGAGGCAAAAAGUUGGUGGAGUUAAUGUCAUAGUUCACAUUGAUGAGAGCAAGUUCUGCCAUAAACGCAAGUAUGCAAGAGGACGCUUUGGUAACACCUGGAAGAGAAAGAGAACAUGGGUUUUUGGUAUACUUGAAAUCAAAGCUGCAAGCAGACGUCCAAUUCUUCGCCUUGUGAAAAAAAGAAACAAGGAAACCCUUGUUCCAAUCAUCAAAAAACAUGUAAAAAGAGAAAGUCUUGUAGUGAGUGAUGAGUGGAGAGCAUACACCAGCCUUUCUCAGGAGGGCUACAAGCAUGUGAGAGUCAACCACAGCCAGAAUUAUGUAGAUCCUCAAACAGGACUACACACUCAAAACAUUGAGAGAGCGUGGCAGACAUAUAAGAGGGAAAUUUGGCGUAUGCGGGGGAAUCGGUCUGAGAAGGCCUUAAAAAAACAGCUCUGCUUCAUUGAGUGGACUUACUGGUUAGCCAGAAGACAUAAACAUGGUGUACUUGGAAGACUUCUCAAGGACAUAAGGAAUGUAAGUAACCACAGAUCAGUUUAAGACCCCCUUACUAUCAUGAAAGGCAGAAUUAAUUAAUUUUUAUUUUCAUAUUUUACAUAUUUUUUGUUAUUUUAUUUUAUUAUUUUUAUUAUUUAUUUUAUUUUGCUUUGGUGUUGUUGGCCUAGGGACAAUAAAUUUGAAUUGAAGUUUUUUUUUUUUUUUUUUUUCCUACAGUUCAUCCAAUAACACUGCAUAGUAAAGACUUUCAUUAAUUGUAGUGGUGGCAGUGCAGUGCAGCAUGUUAGUUAGUUUGUUUGUUUUUUCAUUUCAUUUUUGCUACACAUAAUCACAGUUCAGAUCUGAUAGCCUUAUGAUAAGCCUCUCCUUCUUUUUGUAUGUGAAAUCAAACCUAUGAGAUUUUGUACACACUAUUUGUAGUUCUGCAAUGUCUCUUUAGACACAAUGUAAUCUUCACCACAUUAAUAAUUAAUAAUUAACAAAAAUAAACAUUCUAUAAAGUUAUGCAGUGGAUAAAAGUGCAGAGCUGAGGGUGAAGUUACGCUCUAAACAUUAUUUGUGUUUGUUUUAUCAUUUGACAGAUGGGAACAUGGAGAUAAUGACCACUGGAGAUGAGGAGCCACAGGCCAUGAUGCUGGACUCCAGCACUGAUACUAGCACUGAUGACUGAAAAAUAUUGUAAAAUAACAAACAGCUCAUCCCCUUUUCUGCAAAGAAAGACUGAAUGUAGGAAACAGGAUGUUAGCUAAGUUUGAGUAGAUUGUAAGUAGAUACGUUUUGUUUUUCAUAAUUUAAAGUUCAAGUUGCUUUGCCCCUACGAUGACAUGGUAGAGACUUGUUUGAUUAUUUGUAGUGCUGCCAGUACAGCAUGUUUAUUUUAUUUUGUUGUUUUUUUUUGUUUUAUGUAAUGUUAAUUCAAGUAAAGUUUGAUACAACAUAAUUAGACUGUUCAGAUCUGAUACCCUAGUGAACAAUGGGUUUGUAUAAAUAUAUUGUUAAUAAAACAACUUUCUCUAAUAUCCUGUCUGUAGUGUUGGUUCUAUUGUAGUUCAUAGUCUGGUAUUAACUUCUCAUUUUAAACGGUAAAUAUCUUGCAUAUAAUUAAUGGAUGGCUGUAUGUUUUCUGUUGAUAGCUUAUAGACUUUCAACUGUUAUCAACUGUUUUUCACUUUAAUUGGAUAGUCCUAAAAUAUAUCUACAAAUGCUUAGUUAAGAAUGUCUACUAAUGAUCUUCUGAACGUAAACUUUAGACUAGUUGACAAGCAACAGAUGCACAACCAAUG